GAUCCAUAUGUUGUUUAAGUGGUCACCGGAUUCGAUACUCAUCCAAAUGUGUAUUUCGCCAUACGCAUUGAGGCAUGGAGUCAAAAUGAUUGUAGACUGUCAUAGGU